AUUUUUAUGGAACUGUUGAGAUAAAAGCCAUAAAUCUGACUGUAGGCUCGCUGCUUUUCUUCUCGCCGUCCUCACCGUCCUGAGCCUCUAACCUUGCCUUCUCAAUUUCCCAAAACAUAGACUCCUAUUUAGACUAGACAUCUUUUUUGUUGCUAUGGAAACAAGGUCGUCUGGCUGAUCACCAUCCUGCCUUUCAUUCCUUUUUCUCUUCAAAUCCAUAAAACCUAAACUUUCACCAUGUUGCUGAGAUGAAAUGCUGUGUUUGCAUUCCAGAUAUUUCUAGUUUAUACUAAAAUAACCUGAAACCAUUUAACUGGGUGCUGCUGCAUGCUUCUGAUGGUCUGAAACUUCUCCCCAGGUCCAGUCAGGUGGUUCCAUCCAUUCAUUUUAGGCUCUUAAUGAUUCAUUGGAACUGUGGAAAUGAGCUGUUCAGCUGUGAUGAUUUUUCACAGCAAGAAUUAAGAGCAAAUUUGAGUUUUUUUCAGAGUCUUGAAUUCACACAGGGUCAUAAUUAUUCAUACAGGCUUGAAUACACACCUACUGCACAUUCAGUUAAAUCUGUUAAUAAGUGAUGCUGAAGGUUUGAGAACUUCUGAUUAGUGAUAAUGAUCGAGUCCAGCUGGUAGUUUCUGUUUGCAGGACAUCACUCAUUGGAUCGACUCUGGAUCAGAACGCUGGGAAAGUCUAAGAAAGAGAAAACUGGAUCCACAUUUGUAAACAAAACCAAAAAACCUGUAGAUUCCAGAAUCAUCUUUUCAAGAAAUUAUAAAGUAUUCAGAUGUGUCCCAAAAGACCCAAACUGGUUAGGAUGUUCGGGAACAACCCAAGAACCACAAAGGUCCAAACCCUACCUUCUCACCUAACACGUGACCUGGACACAGCUGGAACAAAAUCAGCACCUUCAACCUGAGCAGAAGUCUGCAGCUGCCCACAUGGACCAGCCAAACAUCUUCUGAAGAACAGACUGAUGGCCAGAUGAGGCAAACAGCGAGAUGUUUGGUCUCAUUGACAAGAAGAAUGCUUGGAACAUUCAGUGUGAACACUGUACCAGCUGUCAAGCAUGGUGGUGGCUGUAUUAUGCUGUGGGCUGUUUCUCUUCCAAUGAAGAAGAAAGUGGAUGGAAACAUGAAGGACUACCUUCAGAUUCUUCACUUCAGAACAGCUUUGGUGUUCCAGCAGGACAAUGAUCCAAUGAUGAUAGACCAGGCUAACAUGGAGGUUCUGAGAUGGCUCCCUCCCCAGUGGACCCAGUUCAAAAGCUGUAAACCAACCAGUUCUGCCCAGAUGGUCUCAUUUUAGCCAGAAGCUUGAGGAUGGAUGAAGAAACAGUGAUUGAGCUGCAACUUGCUAGGAGACAUUAGUAUGUAUAUUUAUGAGCCUGAGUAGAUUAGAGAAAAUCCACAAUAAAUUCUGUUUAAUGGACCCAGUUCUGGUUUUUAAAGAUCAGGAUUAAUGAGGUCCUGCAGGAUUUUCAUUAUCAACACCAGGUUCCCAUCUAACGGCGCCGUUACCAUGGUAACUGAUGCCCCAGAGCAAGAUUGUUUUCCUGUCCUGAGAAGAUAAAUAAAAGCAACUUAAAGUCCCGAAGACACCAUCUCCUCUGUCCUCCCUGAGCUGGGCUUGAACUGAACCUGAAUCGGGUUUCUUCCUGGUAGCAGCUGAAGAUUAGAAGCUAGAACCUGCAGGUCUUCCUCUACCAGCUAACAUCAGAUUCUCCCACUUGAGCUGUGGAACUCUGCAGCUCCUCCAGAGUUACAAUGUUCCUCUUGGCUGCUUCUGAUUAAUGCUCUCCUUGCCCAGCCCAUUACUCACAGCUGAUCAGGCGUUCUGAAGGCUGACACCAUCGGUACCAACAUAAAACCUUCUACAUCUCUGCUGCACAAGGCAGAGAACAAAGAUCAGGCUUUUCCUCUUCCUCUCUGCUUGUAG